rnacentral:rRNA from 1 species
GACGAACGCUGGCGGCGUGCUUAACACAUGCAAGUCGAACGGUGAAGCGCCUUCCUUUUUGGUUGGUGUGGAUGAGUGGCGAACGGGUGAGUAACACGUGAGUAACCUGCCCCCUUCUUCUGGAUAACCGCAUGAAAGUGUGGCUAAUACGGGAUAUUCUGGGUCUGUCGCAUGAUGGGUCUGGGAAAGAUAUUGUUUCGGUGGGGGAUGGGCUGGCGGCGUAUCAGCUUGUUGGUGGGGUGAUGGCCUACCAAGGCGGUGAGGGGUAGCCGGCCUGGGAGGGUGGACGGCCAGAGGGGGACAGCGACAAGGCCGGGACUCAGACGGGGGGCAGCAGUGGGGAAUAUGGCACAAUGGGCGAAAGCCUGAUGCAGCGACGCGGCGGGAGGGAUGGAGGCCUGCGGGUGGUGAACCUCUUUCGCCAGUGAAGCAGGCCUGCCUCGUAUGUGGGUGGGUUGACGGUAGCGGGAUAAGAAGCGCCGGCUAACUACGUG